rnacentral:rRNA from 1 species
AGUGAACGCUGGCGGUAGGCCUAACACAUGCAAGUCGAACGGCAGCACAGUAAGAGCUUGCUCUUACGGGUGGCGAGUGGCGGACGGGUGAGGAAUACAUCGGAAUCUACUUUUUCGUGGGGGAUAACGUAGGGAAACUUACGCUAAUACCGCAUACGACCUACGGGUGAAAGCAGGGGAUCUUCGGACCUUGCGCGAUUGAAUGAGCCGAUGUCGGAUUAGCUAGUUGGCGGGGUAAAGGCCCACCAAGGCGACGAUCCGUAGCUGGUCUGAGAGGAUGAUCAGCCACACUGGAACUGAGACACGGUCCAGACUCCUACGGGAGGCAGCAGUGGGGAAUUUUGGACAAAGGGCGCAAGCCUGAUCCAGCCAUACCGCGUGGGUGAAGAAGGCCUUCGGGUUGUAAAGCCCUUUUGUUGGGAAAGAAAAGCAGCAGGUUAAUACCCCGCUGUUCUGACGGUACCCAAAGAAUAAGCACCGGCUAACUUCGUG